rnacentral:rRNA from 1 species
AAGGUGGAGGAUAACCCCGGGGAAACUGGGGAUAAUACUCCAUAGGUUAAAGGUACUGGAAUGUUCUUUAACCGAAAGUUCCGGGCGCUUUAGGAUGGAUCUGCGGCCGAUUAGGUUGUUGUUGGGGUAGUGGCCCAACAAGCCUGUAAUCGGUACGGGUUGUGGGAGCAAGAGCCCGGAGAUGGAAUCUGAGACACGAUUCCAGGCCCUACGGGGCGCAGCAGGCGCGAAAACUUUACAAUGCAGGAAACUGUGAUAAGGGAACCCCGAGUGCCCGUAUAUGCGGGCUGUCCGGAUGUUUAAAACGCAUCCGAAGAAAGGGCCGGGCAAGACCGGUGCCAGCCGCCGCGGUAAUACCGGCGGCUCGAGUGGUGGCCACUUUUAUUGGGCUUAAAGCGUUCGUAGCUUGAAUAAUAAGUCUCUUGGGAAAUCUGCAGGCUUAACCUGCAGGCGUUUAAGAGAAACUGUUGUUCUAGGAACCGGAAGAGGUGAGAGGUACUCCGGGGGUAGGAGUGAAAUCCUGUAAUCCCCGGGGGACCACCGAUGGCGAAGGCAUCUCACCAGGACGGCUUCGACAGUGAGGAACGAAAGCUGGGGGAGCGAACCGGAUUAGAUACCCGGGUAGUCCCAGCCGUAAACGAUGUGCGUUAGGUGUGCCGGUGACCACGAGUCACUGGGGUGCCGAAGGGAAACCGUGAAACGUACCGCCUGGGAAGUACGGUCGCAAGGCUGAAACUUAAAGGAAUUGGCGGGGGAGCACAAGGG